rnacentral:rRNA from 1 species
UGGGGAAUCUUGCGCAAUGGGCGAAAGCCUGACGCAGCGACGCCGCGUGCGGGAAGAAGGCCUUCGGGUUGUAAACCGCUUUCAGGAGGGAAGAAGCGCAAGUGACGGUACCUCCAGAAGAAGCCCCGGCCAACUACGUGCCAGCAGCCGCGGUAAUACGUAGGGGGCGAGCGUUGUCCGGAAUUAUUGGGCGUAAAGAGCGUGUAGGCGGCUUGGUAAGUCUGCUGUGAAACCUUGGGGCUCAACCCCAAGCGUGCAGUGGAUACUGUCAAGCUAGAGGAUGGUAGAGGCCAGUGGAAUUCCCAGUGUAGCGGUGAAAUGCGCAGAUAUUGGGAGGAACACCAGUAGCGAAGGCGGCUGGCUGGGCCAUUCCUGACGCUGAGACGCGAAAGCUAGGGGAGCGAACAGGAUUAGAUACCCCGGUAGUCC